rnacentral:rRNA from 1 species
UAGGGAAUCUUCCACAAUGGGCGAAAGCAUGAUGGAGCAACGCCGCGUGUGUGAUGAAGGGUUUCGGCUCGUAAAACACUGUUGUAAGAGAAGAAUGACAUUGAGAGUAACUGUUCAAUGUGUGACGGUAUCUUACCAGAAAGGAACGGCUAAAUACGUGCCAG